UCUGUUUCCUCUGAGCAAUGGGACAGGGAAAAGAAUUUAAAAAACAGAACAAAACAAAAAACCCUGCUCUAAGUAUGCACAAACUUUAUGGCCUCCCUUGGCUCCUUGUGCUUCUCCUUCCCCGCCAGGGCUGGCUGUGAGCUCCCCUCCCAGACUUUGUGCUUUCCAUCCUAAUGUUUCUGGCAGCUCCUGCAUGAAUGGCUAACACAGUCAUUUUCUCCCCUCCGCCCCCAUUAUCAAAGCGUGCUUGAAUAACUGUUAACUCCCGGUUAACAGAAUCGUGUUAAUCAUCUACAAGCCCUGGGGCAGGGAAAUUAUUCUGUGUAACCUUGUCCCAGUGGCGGGAGAGCCCCUGUCCCCUGGCAGCUGACCUUCAACGAAAACCGGACCUAGAAGCUGGUGAAACCCAGACCGUGAGGGUGUUACAAGGGCUGUUCAUCAGCCAAGGUCAGAAAGCGCUGGGCCAGGGUGACCCUCAUGCUCUGCCUUCCCAGGCGGGAGGAUGCCUUUCCAUCCCGUCACCCUUGCUCCAGGACCCUGUAAAGAGACCAGGCUGCACUUUCCCCCCCCACCCCCAAAUUGUUUUGCAAGCGAGGGCUAAUCUAUCGCACAUUCUUCGUUGCUGGGAGACUCUGAGUGGCUGUACAGGCUGUUCUUUCCCGGAGCCAUAGUUCAAAAGUACUGCUGACCCAAACACGGACUGUAACCCUGCCCUCCCUUGUGCGGGGCUGGGACGGCCGCUCGGAUGUUCCCCCCCACCCCCCACCCCCACGUGGCUCCAAGUGGCCAGAUCCACCCUCCAGACCCAGUGGCUGGGAGAGAGACCUCCUUCUGAAGUUGGGUGGGUGGCGCCCUUCCGGGGCAGGGGAAGCAGGAGCUGGAGGAGAGGAGCCCGAAGGGGAGCAGGGAGGCUCCGGGGCCGCCCCUUCCCUACCCCAGGAAGAAAGUGGUUGACGAGAGACAGAGCAUGAGCAGUGGGGAGAAGGCAGAGGGAGAAGGAGAAGGAAGCGGGGAGCCCGAUGUGAUGCGGGGCUCGAUCCCGGGACCGUGAGAUCAUGACCUGAGCUGAAGGCAGACGCUUAAAGGACUGAGCCACCCAGGCGCUGGUUCCUUUUUUGAACAUAGACACGGAGCCCAAGACUCAUCCAGGUCAUAUGACUUGUCUGGAGCCGUUGAGCCAAUUGGAGAAGAACCAGCGCUGGCACCCAGCUUUCCUGACUCUCUCUAUGCGCCCCCCCAAACUUACCUAUGGGGAACGUUCUACCAGGCCGUUCUCGUCACCGCCGGCGGAGUAAUAGGUGUGGUUUUGUGCUAUACUUAUGCUUGUCACUAAGUCUAUCCCCUGGCCUGCAUGGCCUCUGUGUAUCACCACAUUUCCUGGAGGCUCUGCUUCUGACCUGGGUGACUCUGCAUGCCGUGGAGCAGAGGGGGUCCCUUGGUAGAGUGUUCUGGACCAGGAGUCGCGCAGGAUUGUACCGGGGCCAGCUGUGGCCCACUGGCCAGAACCAACGGUCAACGAUUCAGGAAUCUUGGGCGUCACUUAACUGGUGAUAACGUGAAUGCGGCUCUGGGGAGAGGAUUCGCACCACAGAAACUGGUAAAUGCUACAAAUCGGGGUUUUCUUUUCCCUCAACAUUUAGCUGGUUUACCAGCUCACCACGGAUUUGGAGGUAGAACCCUGCUUAGGGCAGGGAGCUACUUCCAGGCAAGAUGUUUAGUGCCAAUUAAAAAAUGGAAGGUGGCCCUAUUGUGUAUGAAGGGAAAGCAUCAAAUCUGGGAAAACUACCAUAUGGGAGGUGAAUGUCAUUGAUUGAGGACUGAGGAGAGCUCCAGGGAGCAGCAGGGCUAUCUAACAUGAUGAGUGACAGUGAGGCCUGGUGGGACUCUGACAGCCAUCUCGGGACAGCUUCCCCAGGGUCACCUAUGAGCUGGUGAGCUGGAUGUAUCUCUCGGCCCUGGGGCAGAAACCUGGUGAAGGGCAGCCACGGUCUAUCACUGUCUCCCCCAGUCCUGCCCCUGCCCAGCACAUCAGCAAAUGUUAUCAAUCCAUCCCCGGUCCACAGCUGAUUGUGCCCACUGCUCCUUACUGCGGCCACUAGCCAAGUGCAAGGCUCUGUCCCAUCUUUCCUAAGAUGCCCCCUUCCCUGCAUUCUUGCCCAUCUCUAGUUACUGUCAACACAGCAGCAAAAGUGAUGGGGGCAAGAAGGAGGAGGAGCAGGAGAAGAAGGAAGAGAAGGAGGAAGAAGAGGAGAAGGAAGAGAAGGAGGAGGGAAAAAAGGAGAAGGAGAAUUUAUUAUAUCAUCCUUCCCUGCACUUCAUCAAAACCCUUCAACAGCUUCCCAUUGUACUUAGAAUCGAGCAAAGCUCUGUGAGAGCUGGCCCCUGCCCCCUCUCCAGCUUCUCUAGCUCUGUGCUCCUGCAUCACUCUUGCCAUACUGGUCUUCUUUCAGUUUCUUGAAACCAGCCUCAGGACCUUUGCACACACUCUUCCUGCCUCCAGGACUAUGUCCUGAGUCAUCCCAUGGCUCCUUCAUUUCCUUUAGGUCUCAUCUUGAGUGCCCCCUUCUUAGAUGGAGCGUUCCCACUCACCUGGUGGAGCCCCUGGGGGGCUAGCAAGAGGCUUUGCACACAGGACCGGUGGGAACCAAGCAGUGUGGGACUUUGGGGUGAAAGGAACUGUAUGAGUUCACAGUGUUCCCCUUAAAUUAGCCAACACCGUAAACCUUACAACAAUACUGCUCAAAAGUCUGUGUUUGCUGACUAUACAGUUCUAUGUCCAUUUGGGCAGAGGCCUGGGAAGGCGGCCAGCGAACCAAGGGGUGCAUGGGGAUGAUGGGGGUGCGGGAGCCCUGGGCAAGCCACGCAUACUUCCAGACACUCCCAUCUUGUCCUAAAGCUCUGACCGGCCUCUGGUUUGUUAUUGGAACGAGCACCGAUGAUUCACGUUAAACAGAUCCGAAGCAAAACUCAUAAUUUGUUUUUCUUGAAAUGGUCCUGAGAGGUGCUUUCCAAGAAAUAAGAAAAAAAAAUGAACUCGCAGUGACUUUGAGUCUGCCGAGGGGCAGUCAGUGGUUCAUUCCCAAGUGCAGAGCUUUCCCUGUCGCCCAGUGCACAGGCAGUGAAGGAAAGGGCUGCCGAGCCUGGGAGGUCGAAGUGCUUUGCUGUUGUUCUUGCGGGGUCCUCAGCGGGUGCUUAUGGGGCCCCGGGGGCAGGGGCUGGGGAAGGGGUGCCUCCAGAUUCCGUCAUGGCGGCACAGCACAUGGCUUAGAAAACUGGAACUGUACCCACUGACAGCUCUGGAGCGCAGCAGUCUGAAAUCAAGGUGUUACAGAGCCACGCUCCUUGCAUGAACUCUAGUGGGGAAUCCCGCCUUGCCUUGUUCAGCUUCUGCGGGUGGCUGGAAAUCUUUGGCAUUCCUUGGCUGGUGGCUGCCUUGGUCUAAUCUCUAUCGUCAUCAUCACGUGGCAUUCCUCCCUCUGUCCCUGUCUGUGUGCAGAUGUCUUCAUAAGGACCCCAGCCAUGGGGUUUAGGGCCCACCCUCCUCCAGCAUCAUCUUAACUUGCUUACAUCUACAAAGACCCCCUUGCCAAAUAGGGUCCCGUUCACAGGUAGUGGAGUAAGGCCGUCCCCAUCUCUUUCUGGGGGACACAACUCAUCCCACAUAGGAGGGGUCCCCUCGCUCCUAUGCGGGUAGUCAUGUCACAUGUGUGUGUCACAAACAUGCCGAGCUGAUGAGGAAACCUCACCUCCAGCUUGAGUAAGAUGUGACUUCCGAGUAUGGGAUAUGCAAUUCACCAAAACAUUUUGAGGUUUGGAGUGAGAGCCUGCUGGAGGUUGGGAAGCCUCCUUCCUUCAAAGAUUUCCCAACAUGUGUUACACAGGUCGCCAUGGCAGGCUGAAUCGUGGCCCCUCAGGAGAUGUCCACGUCCUGAGCCCUGGAACCUGGGGUUGUGUCACUCUCCAUGGUAAAAGGGACUUUGCCGAUGGGAUUAGGUUAAGGAUUUUGAAACAAGGAGACAAUCCUGGAUGAUCUGAGUGAGCCCAAUGUCAUCACGAGGGUCCUUAUAAGAGGGAGAUGGAGGACUCAGAAUCCGAGAAGGAGACGUGACUGCAGGUGCAGAGGUUAGAGAGGUUAGAGGGAUUUAGAGCUGCUGCACUGCGGGCUUGGAAAAUGGAGGGAGGGACAAGAGCCAGGAACGCGGGCAGCCCUCUGCACCUGAAAAUUCGAGGAAGCAGACUCUUCCUUCGGAGCCUUCAGAAGGAACCAGCCCUUGAUCCUUGAUCCUACUCCAGUGAGAUGCAUUUUUCACUUCGAAUAAAUCAAUUUAUCUUGUUUAAGGCCGUUAAGUUUGUAGAAAUUUGUCACAGCAGCAACAGGAAGCUAAUACAGUCACACAGCCCAGUUUCCUGUCUUGUAUUAAUUUAACAAACGAUCCGUCUGUCAUUUCUGUUGAGUAAGAUCUAGAGUGGUAUACUGCAUGUAGAAGACACUUAACUCUUUGUUGGACGGAUAAAUUGAGAGCUUGUUAUA